UCUCGCUCUCAUAGUCUCAUAUAGCAUUUCCACUUGCUCACUCACCUCACGAACCCUACUUUAUUUAGCGAUUAGUGCUUCCCUCUUGUUUAAUUUAUGCAUUUUAUGCAUUUCAAAUCUUCAUUUUCUCUCAGUUUUGUGGUCCUUGCUGAAACUGAAUAGAGUUUCAUCAUCAAGUUCUGGAAGAUUUUGCUUUCAUCGUUGACAAUGUGAUGAUGUUUUGGUUUAACAAUUAAUUUGCAUGCUCGGCGACAAUUUAAUUGAAUAUUCGAAUCAAUCUUUUACAGGUUUUGGAGUAUUUGGCUGCGAGGGGUAUACUGCGAAUCUUGUAUGUGUUUGAUUUAGUCCCAGUUCUCAUGCUUACUUUCCAAUAUUUUCUAAUUUAGCUCAGGUUAUGAUGGUGAUUUAUCAAAUUCGAAUAGUUUAGUUGCAUUUUGUAGGAGUAGCAGUAGUCACUAAUAAAAAUUAGUAUUUAUUAAAGGGAAAAAUAUUAAUUGGGAACUAGUAUUUAGAAUAACAUGAAAUAUUGUGAAAGUUGGCAAGAGACUUCAUGAUUGUGGUUUGGUUUCUGAAUGGUGGUUUUGUUUCUGAAGUGUUGCGGUCAUGACAAGUCCCUGAUUAUAUUGGGGAGCGAAAGGAGAUUGUUCUUCUACGGGAAAUAGCGAGCCAUUUGCUACUUGCCUGAGGCGUAGUUUAUGUUGUUUCAGUAAGAUUAUUGAAGAGAGAAAACUAUUUAGUCAUAGAAUGUCUUUAUUACUUUGAUUUUGUAUGUUAUGUAUGCUGAACUACUUCAUAGUAAGUUCCUAAAAAAGAAGUAUGCUUAUCGGUAAUAUAAAACGAUUUGAUGUUUUUUUUAAACAAAUAUAUUAAUUUUAUAAGUUGUACUUUUUCUGUCGACGUGGCAAAAUAUUGGGUACUUAAUAUAGUAUUAUCAAACUUAGUUCAAAUAUUGUAAAAUGGAUGACAAACAAUUCUUUUUCUUUUUUGUUUUUAAAUAGUUUUCAUUUAACUUGCAUAUAGUGUUCUAUUGCCCUGCAGACUGGUGUUUUAUUUCCGUGCAUUAUCCUUUUUAUAUGAGUCUGGGGAAAAUGGAAGUGAACUUUCUCAUGUUUUAAUUAACAUGAUCAUGUCAUGUCAUGUUGGAAAGAAAUACGUUAAAUGCAAUAGUGUAUUUGUUCUUUCAGAAGCAAUGGCUCAAAAUGGAAGGCUUCUAUUGUUGUGGACUGGUACUGAACUUAAAAUGGAAGCCUUGGUUGUCGUGUGGGACCCCAAAUUUAUCGAUGUAUAAUCAGAGUUAGUACUAUUGUGUGCUUGCUUUGAGGUAUGGUAAGCAUUGUCCCUAAAAUUUAAUUGGUUAUUACUCACUUAGUGUGUUCUUAUACCAACCACGGUAAGAUCCUUCUUCUAAUUUUUUUCUUAUAAAAUUAAUUUUCAAUAAUUGAUUAUGACUAAGAUUUAAUUGGUUAUGACUCACUUAGUGUGUUCUUAUACCUAGCAUGUCCCAAAGUUUUAUCCUUAUGAAUCUUAUCUAUCAUUGAUCUAAACAACUGUGAUGUUCAUGUUAUGUUCAUAUUGACAAAAUUCUAGCUUUUUCUCUCACCAGUUGUUUGUCAGUUUCAUAUUAUUUUUCCUACAUUUCUAGUUGUUCCUCUUUUACAUCCUGAAAUUCUCUGUAACACCUGGUUAUUAAUGUUAUUCUCUUUGCAAGGAAGAUGCUGAUUUUGUGCCCUUAUUUGUGUAGCCAUAUUUGGGUCUUCUCGCUAGCUUGCAGUUGGCCCAGUAACAUUGGUUUCUCUCUUGGUUUCUAAUGUGUUAAGUAGCAUUGUUGAUCCAUCCAGUGAAUUAUACACAAAGCUGGCAAUAUUGCUGUCUCUUAUGGUUGGGAUACUGGAGUGCAUAAUGGGACUCUUGAGGCUUGGUUGGCUGAUUCAUUUUAUUAGCCAUUCGGUGAUCUCUGGCUUUACAACUGCUUCAGCUAUUGUGAUUGGUUUAUCUCAAGUGAAACACUUCUUGGGUAUGAUAUUGACAGAAGUAGCAAGAUCAUACCACUGGCUAAGAGUAUAAUAGCUGGAGCAGAUAAGUUUUCAUGGCCCCCUUUUGUGAUGGGAUCAGUUACGCUUGCAAUACUACUUGUCAUGAAGCACCUGGGAAAAUCGAGGAAGCACUUGCGAUUCUUGAGAGCUUCAGGUCCUCUUACAGCAGUAGUUCUGGGAAUAUUUUUGGAUAAGAAAGAAUGGUUUCUGUUUUUUCAAGUAGAAAUCUUUCACACUAUUCUUCUGGAUAUUUUUGGACAGUUAUUCGGUCUUGGUGUUUCCAAUGUUCUUGGUUCAUUCUUUUCAUUUCUUUUGGAUGAGUAAUGUAGGAUCCUUUUCAAGGUGAGUUGUUAAUCAUGAAAGUGGUGCAAAAUCUGGAGUAUCUGAGAUUGUUUCAGGAAUUAUAAUGACCUGUGCACUUUUGUUUCUAACGCCUUUAUUUGAGUACAUACCUCAGGUUUGUUUUCAAGUGAUUAUACUACUUUUAAUAACUAGAAUGCGUCGAUGAUGACUCGAAGUCCACUCAAUGUUGUUUAUAGUCAUGUUGUACGGUGCUAGGGAUUUGGUAAUUUCGAUGAAGUUGGUUGAACUAUGA